UACAGAGGUCCCAAGCGUUGUUCGGAUUCACUGGGCGUAAAGGGUGCGUAGGCGGUCGGGUAAGUCUGACGUGAAAUCUUCGAGCCUAACUCGGAAACUGCGUCGGAUACUAUUCGGCUAGAGGAAUGGAGGGGAGACUGGAAUACUUGGUGUAGCAGUGAAAUGCGUAGAUAUCAAGUGGAACACCAGUGGCGAAGGCGAGUCUCUGGACAUUUCCUGACGCUGAGGCACGAAAGCGUGGGGAGCGAACAGG
rnacentral:rRNA from 1 species